UGCAGUCGAACGCUUCUUUUUCCACCGGAGCUUGCUCCACCGGAAAAAGAAGAGUGGCGAACGGGUGAGUAACACGUGGGUAACCUGCCCAUCAGAAGGGGAUAACACUUGGAAACAGGUGCUAAUACCGUAUAACAAUCAAAACCGCAUGGUUUUGAUUUGAAAGGCGCUUUCGGGUGUCGCUGAUGGAUGGACCCGCGGUGCAUUAGCUAGUUGGUGAGGUAACGGCUCACCAAGGCCACGAUGCAUAGCCGACCUGAGAGGGUGAUCGGCCACAUUGGGACUGAGACACGGCCCAAACUCCUACGGGAGGCAGCAGUAGGGAAUCUUCGGCAAUGGACGAAAGUCUGACCGAGCAACGCCGCGUGAGUGAAGAAGGUUUUCGGAUCGUAAAACUCUGUUGUUAGAGAAGAACAAGGAUGAGAGUAACUGUUCAUCCCUUGACGGUAUCUAACCAGAAAGCCACGGCUAACUACGUGCCAGCAGCCGCGGUAAUACGUAGGUGGCAAGCGUUGUCCGGAUUUAUUGGGCGUAAAGCGAGCGCAGGCGGUUUCUUAAGUCUGAUGUGAAAGCCCCCGGCUCAACCGGGGAGGGUCAUUGGAAACUGGGAGACUUGAGUGCAGAAGAGGAGAGUGGAAUUCCAUGUGUAGCGGUGAAAUGCGUAGAUAUAUGGAGGAACACCAGUGGCGAAGGCGGCUCUCUGGUCUGUAACUGACGCUGAGGCUCGAAAGCGUGGGGAGCAAACAGGAUUAGAUACCCUGGUAGUCCACGCCGUAACGAUGAGUGCUAAGUGUUGGAGGGUUUCCGCCCUUCAGUGCUGCAGCUAACGCAUUAAGCACUCCGCCUGGGGAGUACGACCGCAAGGUUGAAACUCAAGGAAUUGACGGGGGCCCGCACAAGCGGUGGAGCAUGUGGUUUAAUUCGAAGCAACGCGAAGAACCUUACCAGGUCUUGACAUCC
rnacentral:rRNA from 1 species